CACAGCACCACUUGACACAAUGACAUUGAUACACCACAAUUCACAAAAUGUCACCUCCCUUUCGGUAAUUGGUCUGGAGCAAGACCAAAAGGUUCCAACAGGUUACUUUUUUGAGACUCCAUUAAACGACCAAGGAAAAACAGCAUAUGAUGAACUUCCAACACCCCAUACUGUAAAAACUGAAUCAAACAGUUAUGCUUAACCUCAGAUACACCUUAUACACACUCUCCCAAAAUAGCUGAAAGAGUUCAUAAAUAGAUUUCUCCACCGCCUGAGCGCGUUUGUGAAUUCAGAACAGCACAAGACAGACAAUGAUCUAAAACAAGGAAUUAAUCGGCGAUUAGUCGCUGACUGGGCUUAUCCGAUUAGAUCCGACUAACAAUUAAUCACCAAUUACUAAUUAAUAUGCACCGAUUAAUCGCUCGAAGGUAGCCGACCACCCGGCUAGCACCUAGCGACUUUUAGAAACUUUUAGAACAUUGCAAGAGUAUAUGCAGCAAAAAGGAUACCGCAUUGAGAUUAAUCAAAUACACCUAGAGUAAUCAUCAUAUAUACAAACCAACAAAGUACUUGUUUGUUAAUAUGUAUUGAGUUAAGUUGUGGACUAGUCCGUUUAAUAUGUGAAAUGAGAAGGAUUCAGUUAGAGUAAUCGCUUGAAAUGUUCUUUAGCUGCCUACAGAUGGAGAGCAAUCAGCGAGUAUUCCAGAGCUAGGCCACUGCAAAAGUGCAGAUCACCCCAAGAACUCUAAACAUCAAA